rnacentral:misc_RNA from 1 species
GAUGAAGAACGUAGCGAAAUGCGAUAAGUAAUGUGAAUUGCAGAAUUCAGUGAAUCAUCGAAUCUUUGAACGCAUCUUGCGCUCCUUGGUAUUCCGAGGAGCAUGCCUGUUUGAGUGUCAUCAAGUUCUCAAACUGCAUCCAUUUGAAGGGUGUGGAUUUGGAUUAUGGAGUUUGCAGGCUCUUUGAUUGAGGUCUGCUCCUCUGAAAUGUAUUAGUGGCGAUGUGGAAAAGCUACUGUGGGUGUGAUAAAUAUCUAUGCCUUAUGCAGUGUUCUGCUAUGCCGCUUGCAGGGAGAAAUUUCAUUUUUGACAAACUUGACCUCAAAUCAGGUAGGACUACCCGCUGAACUUAAGCAUAUCAAUAACGGAGGA